rnacentral:misc_RNA from 1 species
CGACGUUUUGGACUCGGAUACUCCGCAAUCAACUGCGGUUUACCCGUAGUAAGCCACCAUCUUCCGCCGCCGGCGCAGCCAAGGAACCAUUUCUCCGGCACCCAUUUCCGCCGCAUUCUGUACUAACUCCUCGUUUCUUCUCUACGGCGUCCUACAACCGGACACCGUCAGCGGAGAGGGUAAUUCAAGAGCUGUUGCUUGAUGUGGAAAGGGACAAGCAAAGGGAAAAGGAAGAAAGGAAGAAGAAAGGAUUAGAUACAGCUGAUAUUGAUGCUGAGGAGAAUGAGGAUUCCAUGGGCG